rnacentral:lncRNA from 1 species
GCCCUUCUUUGACUCUGUCUCUAAUGACCAAAUAUUUGAUGUCAAUAUGUUUUGAUCCACCAGAACUUUUAUUAUUCUUUGAAAAGAAUACUGCUGCACUGUUAUCACAGUAGAUGGUGAUCGGUCUUGCGAUGGAAUCAACAACUUUCAAACCAGAGAUGAAAUUUCUUAACCAAACGGCUUGGACUGUAGCCCCAUAACAUGCCACAAAUUUAGCUUGCAUAGUA